UCCAAAGUUUAUUUUAACAUGUCGACAAUUAAAAUCGAGGUCAGGUAAUCAAAUUUCUAAACAGGGCUCCAAUAGAGAAUUAUUGCGCUUUGAACAUUCCAAUUACUUAAUCGAUUGUGUUCCCUUAAUUUUAAAUGGUUUUUGUUUACUACCAAGUAUAACGAGAAAAUACAAGGAUAAGGUGUCUCAUCUUCCCCUUAUAUUUUCGUAUGGUUUAUGUCUCGCAAACGGAGUAUUAAAUUCGUAAAACAUGUUGGUUGUUUUCAGAGUUAAUUGUUAAGAUCAUACUUUUAAGGAUCAUUUCUAUAGUGUGUAUCUUGAAAACGUCGUCAUAUUUUGACGAUACGACAACUGCGAUGAUGAGUCGCAGGAUUCUCCUCUGAGCAUGAAGCUUUACUGUUUGUAAGUUCAUUUGCAAACAGUGAUUGAGGAUUGUUUUCAUUGCUCUUUUAGCAAUGAAAGGAGGGGAAUUCUUGCCUAGCAUUUAUAUUUUGAAUUUAUUAAGUUGCAUGCGUUUUAUGUCACUCGGGUUUUUCGCGUCUUUUGGUGACGUUUUAAACAGUUUAUUUAAAAUUUCGGGCGUUGAAAACGAGGUCAGGUUAUUUAACAGAGCUCUUUAAAAGAGUUACUGCCGGUUAAACUUUGUAAUUAUAUCGUCGAUUGUGUUCUCGUCUUUGAAUGGUUUUUGUUUAUUACCAAAUGAGACAAGAAAGUACAAUGAAAAAGUGUCCCAUCUUCUCCCACUCGACUAUACGUUUUAAUAUCUUUCCGGAGUUAAAACACUAUACGUAUGGUUUAUGUCUCACAAACGGCAGAUUAAACUCGUAAAACAUGUUGGUUGUUUUAGAGUUGUUUGUUAAGAUCAUACUUUUAGGGAUCAUUUCUAUAGUGUGUAUCUUGAAAACGUCGUCAUAUUGUGACGAUACGACAACUGCGAUGAUGAGUCGCAGGAUUCCCCUCUGGAGCAUGAAGCUUUACUGUUUGUAGGUUCAUUUACAAACAGUGAUUGAGGAUUGUUUUCAUUGCUGAUCAGUUACAUUUUGUAUUUAUUAAGUUGCGUGCGUUCUAUUUCGCUCGGUUUUUUGACGUUUUUAGGUAACGUUUCCAAAGUUUAUUUUAAUAUGUCGACAAUUAAAAUCGAGGUCAGGUAAUCUAAUUUCUAAACAGGGCUCCAAUAGAGAAUUAUUGCGCUUUGAACAUUCCAAUUACUUAAUCGAUUGUGUUCCCUUAUUUUUGGAUGGUUUUUGUUUACUACCAAAUAUAACGAGAAAAUACAAGGAUAAGGUGUCUCAUCUUCCCCUUAUAUUUUCGUAUGGUUUAUGUCUCGCAAACGGCAGAAUAAACUCGUAAAACAUGUUGGUUGUUUUAGAGUUGUUUGUUAAGAUCAUACUUUUAGGGAUCAUUUAUACAGUGUGUAUCUUGAAAACGUCGUCAUAUUGUGCGAUGAUGAGUCGCAGGAUUUUCCUCUGAGCAUGAAGCUUUACUGUUUGUAAUUUUAUUUACAAACGGUAAUUGAGGAUUGUUUUCAUUGCUGUUGUAGUAAUGAAACGAGGAGAAUUCUUGCUGAGCAGUUACAUUUUGUAUUUAUUAAGUUGCAUGCGUUUUAUGUCACUCGGGUUUUUCGCGUCUUUUGGUGACGUUUUAAACAGUUUAUUUAAAAUUUCGGGCGUUGAAAACGAGGUCAGGUUAUUUAACAGAGCUC